rnacentral:lncRNA from 1 species
AAAUUUGCUUUAAAAAUCCAUCAAAUUUGAAUUAAAUUCAUACAAAUUAAGGCUUUUACUCCAAAAAUUAUUAUAAUGAAAAUAAGAUAUUAUAAAAUUUCAAAAUCCAUCAAAAACAUCAAAAUUUCAUAAUCAAAAGUGAUUUAAUAAUUCAAAACCAUCAAGAUGCAAGUUGAUGAAAAAUGAUUUUAGAAAUUCAAUAAAAAUUGACACCAAUUUGUUGUAACAUGUUCAAUAUAGAGAUUUAACCAAUAUGAUACCGGGGGUGGCUCUUUGAGCAUCUUUUCAACUUACCACCUUAUAACUCCGAAAAUUCUAAAAUAUUUAUAUUUUUUUUCAACCUUUCUUCGGCUUUUUCAAUUUAAUCUUCAUGUGGUAGCUUCACACACUUGUCGGACGACCGGGAUGGUAGCUCUUUCCUACAUGUGGUGGUAGUUUUCACACUCCUUUUGGAAGUAACUCUUUCCACAUCUUUUAAAUAUAGGAGUUUCUUUUUCUCCUCCCUUUUAAAUUUAAAACUCCCCCUUAAUUAGGCAAUCUCACAAUUGAAAAUAAUUUUGACGAAUUUUAGUCAAUUAGA